AUUGAACGCUGGCGGCGGGCCUAACACAUGCAAGUCGAGCGGAUGAAGGGAGCUUGCUCCUGGAUUCAGCGGCGGACGGGUGAGUAAUGCCUAGGAAUCUGCCUGGUAGUGGGGGAUAACGUCCGGAAACGGGCGCUAAUACCGCAUACGUCCUGAGGGAGAAAGUGGGGGAUCUUCGGACCUCACGCUAUCAGAUGAGCCUAGGUCGGAUUAGCUAGUUGGUGGGGUAAAGGCCUACCAAGGCGACGAUCCGUAACUGGUCUGAGAGGAUGAUCAGUCACACUGGAACUGAGACACGGUCCAGACUCCUACGGGAGGCAGCAGUGGGGAAUAUUGGACAAUGGGCGAAAGCCUGAUCCAGCCAUGCCGCGUGUGUGAAGAAGGUCUUCGGAUUGUAAAGCACUUUAAGUUGGGAGGAAGGGCAGUAAGUUAAUACCUUGCUGUUUUGACGUUACCAACAGAAUAAGCACCGGCUAACUUCGU
rnacentral:rRNA from 1 species